rnacentral:rRNA from 1 species
AUGGCCCUGACCAUUGCCGGCACCGGCUUCAGCACCUGCACUAGCAAGAAGCUGCGCGUUCUGCUCAUCCCUUUCUUCGCGACCAGCCACAUCGAGCCCUUCACCGACCUUGCCAUCCGCCUGGCCGCGGCCGCGGCCGUGGAGGCGACCGUUGCGGUCACGCCGGCGAACGUCUCCAUCGUCCGCUCCGUGCUGGAGCGUCACUACGGCAAACAUCACACUGCGCCUGUUAAGAUAACGACGUACCCGUUCCCGGCCGUGGACGGCCUCCCGGGGGGCGUCGAGAACCUCGGCAAGGCCGCGCCGGCCGACUCGUGGCGCAUCGACGCCACCGCCGUCAGCGACGCCCUGAUGCGCCCCGCGCAGGAGGCGCUCGUCAGGGAGCAGUCCCCGGACGCGCUCGUCACCGACCUGCACUUCGUCUGGAACGUCCGCGUCGCCGAGGAGCUCGGCGUGCCGUGCGUCCGGUUCAGCGUCAUCGGCGCCUUCUCGUCGCUCGCCAUGCGCCACCUCGAGCUCCUCGCCCCGGACGUCGCCGGCGGCGACCCCGACCCCGACGUUGUCGCCGUGGUCCCUCGGUUUCCGGGCCCUCCGGUACGGAUGCCGAGGGCCGAGCUGCCGGAGUUCCUGAGGAGGAAAGCGGAGGUGGAUGCGCCAAGGCUACGUGAAGCGCGCCUACUUCCUAGGGCCUGUCUCGCCGCGGCCAUCGCCGGCUGCAUCGACUGGCUUGACUCGAAACCAGACCGCUCGGUGGUGUACGUGUGCUUCGGCAGUCUCGCCCCCGUCUCGGACGCCCAGCUGCGCGAGCUGGCUCUCGGGCUGGAGGCCUCGGGAAGGCCGUUCCUGUGGGUGGUGAGGGCGGAGGAGUGGGCUCCGCCGGAGGGACGGGAGGAGCGUGUCAGAGACAGGGGGCUGAUGGUCACCACCUGGGCCCCGCAGACGGCCAUACUGGGGCACCAGGCGGUGGGCGCGUUCGUGACCCACUGCGGGUGGAACUCGGUGCUGGAGACGGUGGCCGCCGGUGUGCCGGUGCUGACAUGGCCGCUGGUGUUCGAGCAGUUCAUCACCGAGAGGCUGGUCACGGAGGUCCUCGGGAUCGGGGAGCGGCUGUGGCCUCACGGCGCCGGCGUACGGAGCACGAGCAGUGCAGAACACGAGCUAGUCCCCGCCGAAGCUGUGGCGCGGGUAGUGAUGGCGUUCAUGCCCCCUGGAGGACCAGGGGACGCGGCGAGGGGCAGGGUGAGGGACCUUGCCGCAAAGGCUCACGCAGCCAUGGUGGAAGGAGGCUCAUCGCACCGUGAUCUGCGGCGUCUGGUCGAUGAUCUCGUGGAAGCAAGAAGUGCUGCUGGAGGGAUCAAGUCAGUUCUGGCACCCAUUGGAAGUCCCUUCCAUGGUUAA